CGGGGUGUAGCGCAGCCUGGUAGCGCGUCUGCCUUGGGCGCAGAAGGUCGUGGGUCCGAAUCCCGCCGCCCCGACCA
rnacentral:tRNA from 1 species